rnacentral:rRNA from 1 species
AAAGUUGGGCCUGCCCACUGAAUUUUGAAGGGCCGCAGUAUUUUGACUGUGCAAAGGUAGCAUAAUCAUUAGUUUUUUAAUUGAAAGCUUGUAUGAAUGGUUUGAUGAAAAAAUUACUGUUUUAGUUUUAAUUUAUUGAAUUUUAUUUUUAAGUGAAAAAGCUUAAAUUUUAUUUAAAGACGAGAAGACCCUAUAGAGUUUAACUUAAUNAGAAAUUAAUUAAUAAGAAUUUUAAAAUUUAAUUUUAAAGUAAGUUAUGUUGGGGUGACAAAAAAAUUUAAUGAACUUUUUUUUUAUAAUUACAAUUAUAAUUGAGUUUUUGAUCCAUAAAAAUGAUUAUAAGAAUAAAUUACCUUAGGGAUAACAGCGUAAUUUUUUUUAAGAGUUCUAAUUGAAANAANGGAUUGCGACCUCGAUGUUGGAUUAAAAUUUAUUUUUGGUGCAGAAGCUGAAAAAUUAGGUCUGUUCGACCUUUGAAAUUUUACAUGAUCUGAGUUUAAACCGGUGUGAGCCAGGUUGGUUUCUAUCUUAAAUUUUUGUAAUAUCUUAGUACGAAAGGAUUGGAUAUUAUAUUAAUAAUAUUAUUUUGAGAAUUUUAUUUUGGCAGAUUAGUGUGAAGGAUUUAGAAUCUUUUUAUGUAUUUAUUUACAAAUAAAAAUUGAUUUAAUUUUAAUUUCUUUAAGGCUUAUUAAUUUUAG